rnacentral:tRNA from 1 species
GCGCGGGUAGCUCAGUGGUAGAGCGUUCGAUUGCAGCUCGAAGGGUCACUGGCUCAAUCCCGGUCCCGCGCU